rnacentral:rRNA from 1 species
AUUGAACGCCGGCGGCAUGCCUUACACAUGCAAGUCGAACGGCAGCGCGGACUUCGGUCUGGCGGCGAGUGGCGAACGGGUGAGUAAUACAUCGGAACGUACCCUGUUGUGGGGGAUAACUAGUCGAAAGAUUAGCUAAUACCGCAUACGACCUGAGGGUGAAAGUGGGGGACCGCAAGGCCUCACGCAGCAGGAGCGGCCGAUGUCUGAUUAGCUAGUUGGUGGGGUAAAGGCCCACCAAGGCGACGAUCAGUAGCUGGUCUGAGAGGACGAUCAGCCACACUGGGACUGAGACAGGGCCCAGACUCCUACGGGAGGCAGCAGUGGGGGAUUUUGGACAAUGGGGGCAACCCUGAUCCAGCAAUGCCGAGUGUGUGAAGAAGGCCUUCGGGUUGUAAAGCACUUUUGUCCGGAAAGAAAUCGCGCUGGUUAAUACCUGGCGUGGAUGACGGUACCGGAAGAAUAAGCACCGGCUAACUACGUGCCAGCAGCCGCCGUAA